UAACUUAGUGGCGGACGGGUGAGUAGCGCGUGGGUAACCUGCCGUAUACAGGGGGAUAACACUUAGAAAUAGGUGCUAAUACCGCAUAAGCGCACGGUUCCGCAUGGGACAGUGUAGAAAACCGAGGUGGUAUACGAUGGACCCGCGUCUGAUUAGCCAGUUGGCAGGGUAACGGCCUACCAAAGCGACGAUCAGUAGCCGGCCUGAGAGGGCGGACGGCCACAUUGGGACUGAGACACGGCCCAAACUCCUACGGGAGGCAGCAG
rnacentral:rRNA from 1 species